CAUAGAGAUAUUAGACAUGUAGACAUUUAUACAUAUAUAUGUAUAUACUGAUGUACAUACAAUACGUUUAUGUAAAUAUACAUACACACACACAUAUAUAUGUCAUAU
rnacentral:pre_miRNA from 1 species